AAGACUAUAGACCUGCGGAGUACCUGCGGAAGGAUCAUUAUUGAUUUUUAACAGGAUGUGCUGGCUCUCAAGGGGGCAAUGUGCACUCCUAAUAAAACCAAUAUCCACCUGUGCACCUUAAGUAGACUAGUAGGACUCAUCACAGUCUUUCCAGUCUAUGUUCCUUCACAAACCUUUUGAAAUGUAAAUGAAUGAUCAUCUGUAUAAUUAAUAACAACUUUCAACAACGGAUCUCUAGAU
rnacentral:misc_RNA from 1 species